GAAAUGCGAUAAGUAAUGUGAAUUGCAGAAUUCAGUGAAUCAUCGAAUCUUUGAACGCACCUUGCGCUCCUUGGUAUUCCUUGGAGCAUGCCUGUUUGAGUAUCAUGAAAUCUUCAAAGUAAAUCUUUUGUUAACUCAAUUGGUUUCUACUUUGGUAUUGGAGGUCUUUGCAGCUUCACACCUGCUCCUCUUUGUUCAUUAGCUGGAUCUCAGUGUUAUGCUGGGUUCCACUCGGCGUGAUAAGUUAUCUAUCGCUGAGGACACUGUAAAAGGUGGCCAAGGUAAAUGCAGAUGAACCGCUUCUAAUAGUCCAUUGACUUGGACAAUACUUUUAUGAUCUGAUCUCAAAUCAGGUAGGACUACCCGCUGAACUUAAGC
rnacentral:misc_RNA from 1 species